CCGAAGGGGCGCACAUUUAGUGGACCGCGGGUAUAUAGUGUUUCUUUUAUGUAUGGGAGAAGUUUUUUUCUUACUCUCAACUUCGCGGGGGAACUUCGGCUCGAACAUCCAACCUAGGUUUGAUAUAACACAACCUGUGUGUUUGGUACCAUCAAGACAAAAAUAACACUGAUCGAGCAAAACUUAUCUUGUCUCGGUUUCUUUGUUGUCUCUGAAGAUUUGACUGCCAUAAAAAAUAUUAAUCGAGAUUCUUUUGUUAUGUUAAUUUAAAGCUUUGUAAUAUUGUCUCGUUUAAUAUGCUUAAAUGUCACUGCAGCCCACGUGAAUUUAUCUUCAAGAAAAGGUUUGUUUUUCUUUGUCCAAGUUGUUUCGAAACUUGUUAACAAUCAUUUGUUAUGAAACCAUGCACCAUCAGCAUUUUCGAAAAAUCUUCAACGAGAGAAAUUUUUAAGGAUUUUAUUGGUAACUUAACAGAGUAAUAAUUCAUUGAAAUUUAAAUUGUUCAGAAGUUAUUAUAUAUAUUCGAAUCGUGAAGUUCAUACAUAGCAAUCCUGCAUCCUGGAAUUUUCGAGAUCAGUUAUAAAAAAAUCCAGUUAAAGUUUUAACUAUUGUUUUAGAAUAUAUACUAUAUAUAUGUAAAAAAAAAAUUAUUUUUUAUUUAUCAAGUUGUAUUUUACGUUAAUUACAAUAAUAAUUGAGAAUUAGGAUA